rnacentral:rRNA from 1 species
UACCGAGGGGGCAAGCGUUGUUCGGAAUUACUGGGCGUAAAGGGCGCGUAGGCGGCCUUCUAAGUCGAACGUGAAAUCCCCGGGCUCAACCCGGGAACUGCGUCCGAUACUGGAUGGCUAGAGUCUGGUAGGGGGAUCUGGAAUUCCUGGUGUAGCGGUGGAAUGCGCAGAUAUCAGGAGGAACACCGGUGGCGAAGGCGGGAUCCUGGGCCAGUACUGACGCUGAGGAGCGAAAGCGUGGGGAGCAAACAGG